rnacentral:rRNA from 1 species
GGGGGAAGCUUCGGAUGAGUAAGCGGCGGACGGGUGAGUAACGCGUAGGAAUCUACCCGGUAGUGGGGGACAACCUGGGGAAACCCAGGCUAAUACCGCAUACGCCCUAUGGGGGAAAGCGGGGGACCUUCGGGCCUCGCGCUAUCGGAUGAGCCUGCGUUGGAUUAGCUUGUUGGUGAGGUAAUGGCUCACCAAGGCGACGAUCCAUAGCUGGUCUGAGAGGAUGAUCAGCCACACUGGGACUGAGACACGGCCCAGACUCCUACGGGAGGCAGCAGUGGGGAAUAUUGCGCAAUGGGGACAACCCUGACGCAGCCAUGCCGCGUGUGUGAAGAAGGCCUUAGGGUUGUAAAGCACUUUCAAUUGGGAAGAAAAGCUGCAGAUUAAUACUCUGUAGCCCUGACAUUACCUUUAGAAGAAGCACCGGCUAACUCCGUGCCAGCAGCCGCGGUAAUACGGAGGGUGCGAGCGUUAAUCGGAAUUACUGGGCGUAAAGCGCGCGUAGGCGGUUUGUUAAGUCGGAUGUGAAAGCCCUGGGCUCAACCUGGGAACUGCAUCCGAUACUGGCCGACUAGAGUACGAGAGAGGGAGGUAGAAUUCCACGUGUAGCGGUGAAAUGCGUAGAUAUGUGGAGGAAUACCGGUGGCGAA